CCUACGGGAGGCAGCAGUGGGGAAUAUUGCACAAUGGGCGCAAGCCUGAUGCAGCAACGCCGCGUGAGGGACGAAGGCCUUCGGGUUGUAAACCUCUUUUAGUAGGGAAGAAGCGACUGGGUUUUCCUGGGAGUGACGGUACCUGCAGAAAAAGCACCGGCUAACUACGUGCCAGCAGCCGCGGUAAUACGUAGGGUGCAAGCGUUGUCCGGAAUUAUUGGGCGUAAAGAGCUCGUAGGCGGUUUGUCGCGUCUGCUGUGAAAACCCGAGGCUCAACCUCGGGCCUGCAGUGGGUACGGGCAGACUAGAGUGCGGUAGGGGAGAUUGGAAUUCCUGGUGUAGCGGUGGAAUGCGCAGAUAUCAGGAGGAACACCAAUGGCGAAGGCAGAUCUCUGGGCCGUAACUGACGCUGAGGAGCGAAAGCAUGGGGAGCGAACAGGAUUAGAUACCCUGGUAGUCCAUGCCGUAAACGUUGGGAACUAGAUGUGGGGACCAUUCCACGGUCUCCGUGUCGCAGCUAACGCAUUAAGUUCCCCGCCUGGGGAGUACGGCCGCAAGGCUAAAACUCAAAGGAAUUGACGGGGGCCCGCACAAGCGGCGGAGCAUGCGGAUUAAUUCGAUGCAACGCGAAGAACCUUACCAAGGCUUGACAUAUACCGGAAACGGCUGGAAACAGUCGCCCCGCAAGGUCGGUAUACAGGUGGUGCAUGGUUGUCGUCAGCUCGUGUCGUGAGAUGUUGGGUUAAGUCCCGCAACGAGCGCAACCCUCGUCCUAUGUUGCCAGCACGUAAUGGUGGGAACUCAUGGGAUACUGCCGGGGUCAACUCGGAGGAAGGUGGGGAUGACGUCAAAUCAUCAUGCCCCUUAUGUCUUGGGCUUCACGCAUGCUACAAUGGCCGGUACAAAGGGCUGCGAUACCGCAAGGUGGAGCGAAUCCCAAAAAGCUGGUCUCAGUUCGGAUUGAGGUCUGCAACUCGACCUCAUGAAGUCGGAGUCGCUAGUAAUCGCAGAUCAGCAACG
rnacentral:rRNA from 1 species